rnacentral:lncRNA from 1 species
CUUUUUUUAAUGUCUGCUGUUAAUAAAAUAUUUUUACAGAGACAAAAAGUCAGAAUAGUGCAAAACAUCUCAACACCAUGCAUUCAUGACCACUUCUCGUUUGUGUUAAACAUUUGUUCCAAGUCACAUAUUUACAGAGAAAUGAAGGCGUCUGUGCAGACACUGGACCGACAGGGUAGAAUCAAAACAAAACAAAAAACAAACAACGUUUUGAUUUCACAUCUGCAAUCACAUGCUAAGAGUUGUGUGGAGGGGAAGCCUCCCCGGACUGCUUGGCCGGUUUGCGGGGGUCUGAGGGAGCACGAGACAGGGGUGGACAGGGGUCAAGUCCCCCUGGCUGUGUGGUUGGGGAUGAUCAGGGGACCCUCCGCCUGUGACCUGUGUCUCCAGAGAGCCACUAUGGCUGGACGGGGGUAAGGGGUGGGGUGUUACUUGACACAGUCAACUUGAUUUUUCUCUGAAAACAAUAAAAGGCAAAGAGAAAAGCAACACGUGUCAGCAAAGACAACUUUGGUCCUCAACGAUUCUUAGGAAAGGAUUCUGGGGAGCAGAUGGGGUAGGGGUAGGGGACAGAAAGGCUCUGAGAUCCCAGCCGAGAGAGGUCCCAAGGAUUUCUAGUUGGGUGUUUAGUUUUUUGCAUCUCUGAUGGGGGCAUGGUGAGGUCUCAGGCUCUGGGGCCUGAGAGAGGAAUUGGGGGUGUGGACAGGCACCUCCUCAUUUUAUGCAAAUCAUUCGAGGACAGACUGGUAAGAGUGAACAGAUCCUUCUUUCUUCAGGACACCCUCUUUACUUCCCCCGACACCCCCUGCCUUGGUCUCUGCAUUUACCUUUCUCUGUAUAUUUCCACCUCCAUGUCUCUCUCCAUCUCUGUCUCUCUCCGUCCUCAUCGGGGCGUGAUCUCACCCUCUGUCUCUGUAUUUUCUACUCUAUUCCUCUUGGUCAGGGGACUUUGACUCUGAGGCAUCCCUCAAUGUCACCCCUUUAACGCUUGCCCUGCCACAGGCCAACCCUCUUGUGCUGUUUCCCUGAUUCAUGGAAAUGUGGGGCCAGCUCCUUGCAUAAAGCGAGGUCCAGGGUUCAGAACCCUGGAGGUGUCAUCCAAGGCUGGGCUCUGUGUCCACUUGCUGGGUGGCGUUGGGGAAAGCCCUGCUCCUCUCUGGGCUUUGUUCUGCCAAUACAGGAACUUCCUGAUUUCAAAAGGCUUUCAGCCCCCUGGACUCCUUGUCUUUUCUCUGUCCGUGUCUCAGCCAUGUCCACUCUCUGUCCCAUGUGUCAGGCUCAGACACCUCCUAUGUGCCCAGGUCCGUGUGGAAGGGGAAGGUUGGUACGGACAGACAUGGACAGACAUGCAUGCGGAUGUGUAUUCUCACACUGACCCUGCCCCAAUACAUAAUUCCACUAGGCGUAGACUCCCUGUCACCCACUUGUGCCCAGCCUGUGCUAGGUAAAGUUGGGGGUCCUGAGAGUCCUCAGACCCCAGUCUGAGACUGAGAAACAGAGCUGGACAGAGAAACCCCCAGUCCCAUGGCAUCAGGCUGGACUGGAGGAGAGACGGUGGCUGGGAAAGUCCUGAGGGGAAGGAAGGAGGGUUUUCUCCAAGAGGGGUUUCCGUGAUGGGUUUUGAAGGACGAAUAGGAGUUCUCUGGGGGAAAGAAAAGAGGGUGGAAAUUGCAAAAACAGUUCUAGCCUGGGAGUCAGGAAAACUCAUUCAACAAAUAUUCCCUGAAGAAGCUUGUUUCCUUCACAUGCCUGGGCCAUUGCUGGGGAACCCUAAACACACACACACACACACGGAGGUCUUGACCAGAAAGACUCCUAAGGAAACUUUUGGGAAAUAUCUUGGCUCUCUCAGGCAGCUUGACUUCCCCAUUUCUUUCCAGCCAUCCAAAAAUCUUCCAGAUCACCCUCACCCCAGGUCACAGAUCACUUCCCCUUUGGGCUCUAUGGGUUACAACCCUGAAUCAUCCAUCCACCCGGCCCCUACCCUCAGCCAUGUCAUGGUUCGAAAUUCACAUCUCCUCCUCAGUCCAUAUAACAGUCACAUAAGCUUAUCCCUGGCUACAACUUCCCAACCCUGUAUGAGAAUUUGCAUUUUAACCUUUGGUUCAGAACCUCCAGUUACCUGCACCUGUCUGAAUUUAAGGGACAUGCAACAUCUCCAAGCAAAUUAGAAAGUGGCGCCACUUCUUCCAGACACUUGGGCCAUUCACAUGUCGGGAAACCAACGUCACAAACAUACAACACUCAAUAUCUAGGAUUUGCACGUGGCCUUCUUAGCAAUGCCAAACCCUUGGGCACUGUGCAACUGGGACAACUGUACUCAGCAGCCCUGGAGCUCAUCUAAGGGCAGGAUUUUUUUUUUUUUUUUUUGGUGAGGUAGAGGGGAGGGAAUGGAGUAUUGUUCUGUUGCCCAGGCUGGAGUGCAGUUGUGUGAUCACGACUCACUACAACCUCUGCCUCCAGGGUUCAAGCAAUUCUCCCGCCUCAGUCUCCUGAGUAGCUGGGACUACAGGCACGCACCACUGCACCCAGCUAAUUUUUGUAUUUUUAGCAGAGAUGGGGUUUCGCCAUGUUGGCCAGGCUGGUCUCAAACUCCUGACCUUAAGUGAUCUGCCAGCCUCGGUCUCCCCAAAUGCUGGGAUUAUAGUCAUGUCCCCACAGCUAUAGGUGUCUUUUCAACACAGCCUUCAGAAUCUUUCCAAGAAUCCAUUUCAGUGUCCCCAAAGCACCUCCACCUCUCCUCACUGGUUUUAGUCUUCACAAAACAGCUUUGCAGGCUGGAAUCCAGUCUCUCCCCAACUUAAAACAGCUCCUGGAGCUCCCCAACUGUCUUAGAAUAAAAGUAAAACUCCUCAGGACUGCGUAGGAGGCCCUGCCUGGUCUGAUGCUUCUGCGGAUCUCCCCAACCCCAAGGCUCCUCACGAUCCCCCUUGCUGGCUCAGCUCCAGCCGUGCCACCCGUCUGGUUGUUUCAACAGUUCUUCUCUCCUGGCCUUCGCACGUGCUGUUCCCCAGGCCUGGAGCUCUUUUCUCUCUAGUAAGUGGAUC